GUGCAUCUGACGAGUUUCUAAUAGAACGAAACGCGCGUCCUGGAU
rnacentral:hammerhead_ribozyme from 1 species